rnacentral:lncRNA from 1 species
AGAUCUCUGAUGGAGCCAGACUAGAUGGAGAGAAGCCAAAUGAGAAUUCCCUUUCUAAUGCGUUGGAAAGAUCUGAAGAAGAAAAUGAAACAAAAAUCUUAGACUUAGAGCCUUUGAGGAAUUCUUGCCAUCUGUUUGAGACCAGCCUGGGUUACAUAGUGAGACCCCUGUCUCUACCAAAAAAUAAAAAAAUUAGCUGAGUGUGGUGAUGCAUGCCUGUAGUCCCAGCUACUCAGGAGACUAAGGAGGGAGGAUCACUUGAGUCAAGGAGCUGGAGGCUGCAGUGAA